AUUGGUGGGAUGAGCAAUCCGAGUUCCCGGAUGAGGGAACAUUCUGCAGUAUAAAGGGAGCAGGGAAGGCGGGAGACAGCGCAGUUUGAAUCGCGGUGCGACGAAGGAGUAGGUGGUGGGAUCUCACCGUGGGUCCGAUUAGCCUUUUCUCUGCCUUGCUUGCUUGAGCUUCAGCGGAAUUCGAAAUGGCUGGCGGUAAGGCUGGAAAGGACUCCGGAAAGGCCAAGACAAAGGCGGUUUCCCGCUCGCAGAGAGCCGGCUUGCAGGUCAGUAGUUGUUCGUGCAGUCUGGGAGUCAUGAUGUUUUUCUUUGCAUUUCCUUUUUUGUUAUUCAUCGCUCUCGAUGGGCGUUUUGUGUAUGCGUGGGUGAUGCGGUGUCGCGACUUGGGCUGCCCAUACGAUAAAUAUGGGGGGGAGGAAUCACGUGUUUCGAUGUCGGGACGCGUUGCUGCGCCCGUGCCCCUUGCUUUGGCGCGCAUAUAAUUUCCCCAUCUCUAGUUCUCAUUUUUGUGCAUUUAUGUUUGUGUAUGCUUAAAAUUUAAGUUCCCAGUGGGCCGUAUUCAUCGACACCUAAAAUCUAGGACGACCAGUCAUGGACGUGUGGGCGCGACUGCCGCUGUGUACAGCGCAGCCAUCCUGGAGUACCUCACCGCAGAGGUAAAUGGGUGAACGCCUAUAAUCCGGAGAAGGUUUGGGGGGCGGGGAGGCGGCAAGAGGGAAGGAGGAAAGUGAUGCAAGAAAACUCCCAGGCCCUGAACGCGGCGAGAGGCCUAAGAGAACGCUAGAGGGAGCUGGUGUUCAACAAGGAUCCUACUGAGCUUGAGUUCUCUGCUCUUGGAAUUAAAAUUGCGUGCCCCCUGUAUAUCUUGCCAGUCAGAUAGUGAGGAACGAUUCCAGUUGGUAGAUCUGCGUUUGUGAGGGUUUUAUUCUGUUCUCUGAAUCUUGGCCAAAGGAAAGUUGGAAGGCAACUGACAGAUUCUGCCUUUUAGGUACUUGAACUGGCAGGAAAUGCAUCAAAAGACUUAAAGGUAAAGCGUAUUACCCCUCGUCACUUGCAACUUGCUAUUCGUGGAGAUGAAGAAUUGGAUUCUCUCAUCAAGGCUACAAUUGCUGGUGGUGGUAUGUUAACUUCUAACAUUUUAAAAAAUUUCUUCAGAGGAAGGAAUUUUUUGCUGCUUUUAAUUAGUUUUUCCAGGAGAGGAAAUUUAAGUAUAUUUUCAAUGAUGGAAGUAUGGUUGUAUCAUGAAAUUUGAUUUAUAUGUAUAACUCAAUGAAUUUUUACUUCAUACUUGAGCUGCAUGUUUUUAAAGAUACCUUUCAAGUUGAACAGUAUACACUUUCUUGGUUUCAAAUACUGUGAUUUUUUAAAAAAUCUUAAGUAGAAUUAAUUCCUGUCACUCUCCUAGGUGUCAUUCCACACAUCCACAAAUCUCUGAUUGGGAAGAAAGGACAACAGAAGACUGUCUAAAGGAUGCCUGGAUUCCUUGUUAUCUCAGGACUCUAAAUACUCUAACAGCUGUCCAGUGUUGGUGAUUCCAGUGGACUGUAUCUCUGUGAAAAACACAAUUUUGCCUUUUUGUAAUUCUAUUUGAGCAAGUUGGAAGUUUAAUUAGCUUUCCAACCAACCAAAUUUCUGCAUUCGAGUCUUAACCAUAUUUAAGUGUUACUGUGGCUUCAAAGAAGCUAUUGAUUCUGAAGUAGUGGGUUUUGAUUGAGUUGACUGUUUUUAAAAAACUGUUUGGAUUUUAAUUGUGAUGCAGAAGUUAUAGUAACAAACAUUUGGUUUUGUACAGACAUUAUUUCCACUCUGGUGGAUAAGUUCAAUAAAGGUCAUAUCCCAAACU
rnacentral:lncRNA from 1 species